rnacentral:lncRNA from 1 species
AUGAGAGGAGUUUCUUAUAAAAGCUUUCGAAUUCAGAUGUAACCCAGCAAUGCACUCAGACUCCUCUCUGCUGUGGAGAGCUUUUUUUUUUUUUUUUCAUAUUAAACUUUCACUCCAACUUUAUCUUUGUGUUUACAAUUCUUAAUUUUUUUGUCUUGGAUAAAGAACAAAAAACCUGGAGUACUUCUUCAGACAACAAGAAACUUCCAAAUUAAGGUGCAUUGGCAAGAAUGCAACAUAUUUUGAUCCAUUGGCUUGGAAGGAGGGAAUUCAUCAGAAGGGAAUCAAACUUGACUUACAAAGCAAAAAGGCCCUUGGAAAACUCACUGCAUAUUUUGUGUACACAGUCCCUGUACAUGGUUUCUGAUCUGUGGUAAGUAAAAAAAUUACUUUCUAGCAGGCUGGGAAGCCCAAGUUAUCUUGGUCCCUCAAGAGAAGAGAAAUUCUCCAACUAAUAGGUAUUGGACAGUAAAAAUCCAUGGCUGGGCUUCGCUUUAAAAAGGUCUUAUCUCAGAUUCCUUCUUUGAAACAAAGUGCCAUAUAAACCAAUUUAAUAGGCAGAUGUAACAAAUAAUUAUUCUUGCUGCACUGUAUGCAAAUAACUGUCAAGUAUAGUAAAGCAAACCAGUCCUAUUAUAAUUUGUCUUUUAAUAAAAAUGGGAAACUGGAGAGACAAAAUUAUGUUUCAAAAAUGAUAGCACAUGGAUUGUUGAAUUCUAGUGUUUCCUAAUGUUUUUCUAUUUUUAUUAUUUUCCACUGCUUAAAUUAAACUCUAAUUUUUCUGGAUAUAAGUUUCCAUAUUAAGCUGUGAUUUCUUAAAGCCCUACAAACUGAAAAGUAAGUGUUUCAUCAAGUACUGCCUCUAACACAGGGCCACCACAGGAAUAAAUGUCUUCACUGCUGGUGCUGACAACUAAUAACUGAGGGUGCUGAGAAAACUUUCCCCCAAAGUCUAGUGAGUCCAUGAAAUGCAGGGUGAUUAAGAUGAUAUCUGAUACAGGAGUCAAUUCCUAAAUACAUCACUCAAGUCAAAGCCUAGAAAUCUAAGAAAGCAACCCAAACAGCCCAAAGAAACACCCUAAAUAUCAAUGUAAAAAAAUAGAAAAUAUUAAGCUGAAAAUCAUAAAAGAUAGGUGACUAAGUGAAAACUACUCAUUUUAUUCAGCCUCACACACCUCACCAAAUACUUUUGGUGUGUCUACCUCUUUUUUUAAGCCAAAUAUUAAAACAUUUUAAUGGAAAUUAUUUACUUUGCCACCCUUGUGGGAACUGCCUUACUCACUGCUAUUUGCAGUAGAACAAUAUGCUAUAGCAUCCUCAGGGUGGAAUAUCAGACAAAAAAAUCUCAAUUAUUAUAGCAUUUUCCCUAAUUAUUAUCCAGAUAGCAGGAAUAAUAGUUACUAAAAGAAAGUAACACAUGAGUUCUUCCAAACACAUGCUUCUGCCUCUCAUCAGGUAACAAAUGUUUCUAUAGCAACGAAUAGGGCUUAGUAAAAAACACUGCUAAAAACUUAAAGAAAAGGCUAAAAAGCUAAGGGAAUAUCAAAACAACCGAAUAGAUUCUUGGUUUGGAUUCAAAAUCAUAGGAUGAGUCAUCCCAUUCCUGGGACCUCUUCUAAUAAUAUACCUGGAACUAAUGUUCUUACCUUGCCUAAUUAACUUUUUUCAAAGAUUUUUAACUGAAAAUAUCAUGGCCAUUUUACAGACAACUACCCCAAAAUAUCUACAAAUGACAUUGCUCCUACAGUAAACCCAAGACCAGAAAACUCUCCAUCCCCUUGUCAGCAGGAAGUAGCCUGCAGUCCCUCCUCCUUUUUAUAACCAUAGGAUCUGGAUUGACAGAGCAGGACCACCACCUUGUUGGAACAACCCCUCAUUCUAAAGCUGACCUCAAUAAAAAACUGCUUAAAUCCAAAGGGUGUCAGCCUAAUGGCUAAGGUCAGCAUGACCAUAAACCACAGAUAACUUCUCUAACCAGAAACAUUCCAAACUCCUCCCCAACCAGAGAUAGGGUAGUCCUGAGAUAAACUCUGCUCUGGCUGGGAAAAUGCUAGCCCUGAGAUAACCCCCUUCUUGGUCAGAAAGAUGUCUGCCCCAAGAUAACCUUACCUCCUGCCAGAGAGAUUCCAACUCCGCUAUAAACUUCUCCACACACAUAAACAUUCCAAGCUUGUGAUAAGCCCCCUCAACCUAAAAGUGAUAUAUACUCAGCUUUUAAGAGAAAGUACUCCUGACUGAAAUUGGCCAGAAGCACCUCUCAGGUUUCCUCUAAAGAAAACCUGUCUUUACCUGCCAGCCGCAUUUCUUGUUUCUUUCCUCUUUAACUCCUACAGAAAUAAAAGCACAACAAGGUUUUCUUAAGAUUUCAAUGUGCUUUUUAGAAAAUCUUGUGAAGAGUUAUAAAAGGUACAUGAAAAUCUCACAUCAUGAUCAAACUGGUUAAAAUUGAAUAGGAUUACCUAUAAGCUUUCAUUAAAAAUUGGGGUUAACCAUUAAUAGUAAAAUAAUGCAAGGGUGAAAUUUAACUUGCUUGAACAGGGUUUUCAUGUAAUAGUAAAGACUGAUGAAUGGUUUUUGGCUUUUCAAAUUUUGACUCAUCAUUUUGGCAAGACAAAUAACUAUGUUAAUCUAAAAUUGUAUUUCAUAACAUCAAGUGUUUUAAAUUUCAAAUAUAUUUAACAGGCUUACCAAAAUCAAACUACAGUCUCAAGGUUGUCUUUCAUGACCUAGGGGUUUGGGUGCUACCGAGGACCCCUGGAGCAUCCAGAAGAGAGUUAAACAGGAUUAUUUAACAUGUUUGCAUACAUGAUGUCAGGCCUCUGAGCCCAAGCUAAGCCAUUAUAUUCCCUGUGACAUGAACGUAUACAUCCAGAUGGCUGAAAACAACUGAAGAUCCACAAAAGAAGUGAAAAUAGCCUUAACUGAUGACAUUCCAUGAUUGUGAAGUUUCUACCCCACCCUAACCGAUCAAUGUACUUUGUAAUCUCCCCCACCAUUAAGAAGGUUCUUUGUAAUUCUCCCGACCCCUGAGAAUAUACUUUGUGAGAUCCACCCACUGCCCACAAAACAUUUCUCCUAACUCCACCGUCUAUCCCAAAAGCUAUAAGAACUAAUGAUAAUUCCACCACCCUUUGCUGACUCUCUUUUUGGACUCAGCUCACCUGCACCCUGGUGAAAUAAACAGCCUGUUGCUCACACAAAGCUUGUUUGGUGACCUCUUCACAUGGAUGUAUGAGACACAUGCAAUUGCCAAAAUGAUAUUUAAUAUUUUCCAGGUUAUAUUUUGGGCAAUAAUAUUAACAUAUAUUUCAAAAUCAUAUAGGAUUUCUAAGGUUCUAGUAUCUGAACAUGUGCUAUUAAUCACAAUUAAGUGUGUUAAGUUGGUUUAUGGUGAACCAUAAAAAUAACCAAAUUUGUCCAACAUGUUCUUGACUGUAACUACCCUGGAAAUUUUGUCAUUUACUGACAAUUUUUGUCUUGUUUCAAUCUUCUUCUUCUUAAAAAAAAAUAGAUUAUAAUCAGCUGUAGAACUUUAACAGGGAUUCUUUCAAAUGCUGGUUUCUAAUAACAGAAAAACUUACAGGACACAUGAAAAGUAGAAACUGAACUAGUAGAAAACUAAAGCAAUAUUCUUGACUUAUGCUUGGAACAUUGCUGAUUCUUAUUUUGUUUUUCAGAGUCAAGGACACUUGUCUUGAGCUAGCUACACCCUUUCACAACUCAGUAAGGAGUGAAGACUGAUUUUGCAGAGCCAAUAAAGGCCCCUGGGGAAACUGGCCUCAUAUCUUGUCAUGAAGAUUUUAUACAGGUUUCCUAACCUGUGUGCUCACUGCUGCAAAGAAGAACAAGCACACAGGCAAAAAGUUUUCCCAGCAAGAAUGCCAGGGUGAAAGGAAAGAUCAAUUGGACCAGAGCACAAGUGCUGCUCCAGUUACUUGGCAGAGUACCUAAUAGUGAUCCACCACAAUACCACCAUAUAUCUGUUUGGGAAUAAACAAGGGCAAGUUGACUGCUUAAGAGUGAUGACAUGCAACUCAGUCUCUUGCAACACCACCUGAGAAAAGGAAGCACUAGCAGGAAGAACAAAUUGAUGGAGAGGAAAAGUGAUGAAUACAGAUAAGAAGCACAGCUGGUGGAGGCUCAUGUGCCAGUUUACUGGGCCUCAGGACAUUCUCCUCUAGAAGGAGGAGACAGCAUGACCCCCACUUUCUUUUAUUUUAUUAUAAUUUAAGUUUUAGGGUACAUGAGCACAAUGUGCAGGUUAGUUACAUAUGU